GCGGGAGUGGUGAAAUGGCAGACACGCAGGUCUUAGGAACCUGUGUCCUCGGACGUGUGGGUUCAAGUCCCACCUCCCGCACCA
rnacentral:tRNA from 1 species